CAUUCUAAUUUAACAAUUAUUUAUUUAUUUCUCUUAAUCCCUCGUUCUUCUCUCUCCCGCGCUCUCUCUUCUCUUUCAGUGGUCUGCGCCACUUCUCACUCUGAAGAGGAACCGUCUCUCUGUCUCUCCAGCACUAUUUCUCUGGCUCAUAUCCAAUCGCUGUACUGUACAAUAUUAUGAGAACAUGCUAAAAACAUGGAAAUUUCUCUUUAAAUGAGAAAAAAUUAAAAAUCCCACAGUUCCACUGUGGCAAUGGUCAGCACUAGAAGAAGUUCAACUGCUGCAAAUCCCAACUUGGAAGCUCCUAAACCAAAUUGGAGUUUAGACCCUGCUGCUCAAGUGCCCCAAAGCCCAUACUUCUCCACUUCCACAACCAGGAUUAUCCCCGCCUCUGUCAAAUCAGUGUUUUUGUGUGAUUGGUGGCUAGAUAAGGUUAACGACAAGCAAUUGGCGGUUGGAGGCUUUGCUUCUAGAGAUUUUUGAAAGAGUCCAGUGGUUCCAAUCACUAUAAAAGUGAACCUAUCAUAGGUGUCUUACUUUGGAUGCAUCCAGCUCAAAUAGGAGAUUAUCAACAAGAGUUUUUAUAUCUACUCCUGUUUCUAAGCGACACUGUGCCACCAAACUUGAGACAGCAGAUGGCAUAACAAUUACAAUCUGCGGUUUAAUUAAUAGGUCUCGCACUCUUCAAAAUGGCAUUCCAUCUGAAGUGUGCAAUCAAUUUUUGCUUGGUUUUCCAUAUAAUUGGGAGGAUUAUGCUACUCUGGGUGAAGAAUCCAGUGCUGGAGCUUCCUCAACAAUAACUUCAGGAAAAAGUGAAGAUAAUAUACCAUUUUCUCUGAAUGAUCUCCAUGAGACCAGGACAUGCGAUCUUUUGUUGUCAAAUAUUCAGAAUCUUGAUUAUAAUUUGUUCGCAGAAAGCAUUUGUAAUGAGAUACAGAGACCUUUGGGAACCACUUGUUCAGAGAAAGCUGGAGCAUCAAUCAGUUCAAAUAUGGAAUGUGAGCAUCUGAUAAGAAAUGGGAAAUCUGGACUAAAUGUGACUCCAAUCAAGUGUAAGAAAGUUAAGACUGAUUAUAAAAGCCACCAACUUUCGAAUGGUGUUGGAGUAGGUGUUUGCACAAGAAGCAUGACUAGGAUUAAAAAUCUGGCUCUACCAUGAAGCAAAAUUAUGUAACCUGUUUUGUUUUCAUCAUUUGUCUUACUAAACUGGAUUGGUGGUAACAAGAAAUGCUUCAACAUUGAUACUUUUUUUGUUUUUGUUUUUUUACUUGCAAAUCCGUUUUCUGUAGAGAAUGGGAAGUCAAAGAAAUCAUGGUACAACAGCGGUCAGAAGAUGUAGUAUGAUGCUGGAAAUCCAAAUUUAUGUACUGAAGUAUUUUUAUCUUUGGAACUCUGGGAUGGCUCAAUUCAUUUAGUCAUAUUAUAUUACUUCUAAUUCUUCA